GCCAAUGUGAUUAGUGGUUUGAGCGUUGGACUAUGACUCUGGAGACCAGGGUUCAAAUCCCAGCUUGGCCA
rnacentral:tRNA from 1 species